GCAUGCGCUUCCAUAACACGAGUGACCAGUUGUAAACUUUCCUUGGUGAGGUGAGGGUUAUUGCUCUCUCAAGUUCUCAUUCUCUCUUGUCACACGCAACACAAGUGGUGUCAUUAUUAUAAUUUGUCUUUUAAUCAAUAAAGGAAUCCUAUGAUUACAUAGAUAUGAAAUCGUGGUCGUUUGUGAGUGAGGUUUUAAAAGUGUUUUAGUGAAUUACCAGUGACAAGCACGGCGCUGUUACCUGUCCUCCAACAAAAUGGGUGACGACGCAGCAGCAGCAGCUCGACGUGUCCAAGAGAGAGAGAAUCUGCGACAUAUCAUCCAGCAGUGGAACGCCAACAGACUCGACCUUUUUGAGAUUUCCGAGCCAAAUGAGGUGCGUCUGCCUUUAAUUAUCUACUCCACAUGUGAUGAUCAAACAAGAAACUUUCCAGGGUUCGGCUUCACUCAGCUGACUAGGUGAUAUUGUAACCACCACUACAAGCAAUAUUGAAACUUGGCAGACUACCACGCUAACGUAUCUUUGGUAGCCUCGAACGGUCAUCAUAACCUGUGUCAGAACGCUGUGCUGGACGGAUAAUGUAUACAAUAUUUAUACAUAUAUAAAUUGAAUUGUCUGUAUUUGCUUGAUAAAGCUGGAGAGGGAAACUAAAUGUAAUCAAUUUUAUUAAUUGC